UCUCCACACUCUGCUGAAAAGUUUGCAGAUACUACAUGUUGUAGCCUGACCUUACUGGGCCACAAAAAUAAAUUCCUUUUUCCCGGUGGAAGUAUCCCCUCUGCCUUGACUGAAAAGGACAAGAUGAUUUGACACUGAUGCUGUCCAUUUCUGUGAUCAUUCCCACUGAAAUGUACAGGAUAGCAGGAAGGAAUUGGCUAAGCACAGCAUUGGCUGACAAUACCUGAUGCCAAGGUUCAUGGUCUCUGCGGUCCCAAUCAUUCCGAUGGCCAGCAGCAUAUUGUUGCAGAUCUUUGCUGCCUAGAGGGGAUUGACCACAAAGAGGAAAUAGCACUUUUACUGUGUGUAUAUGACUAGGUUCGCAAGACAACAUGUUAUACAGAAUGUCAUUUAAAAGGUACGUCAGGCAUAAUCAUAACCAUAAGAUAAUGGGAACAGACAAAUGAAUAUGUCCAGACACACUAGAAACUCACUAGAAAGAUCUUUAACUGGGACAUUUUACCCUGACAUCUCUGGAUUAGUGAGGUGAAAUCUUUAUUUUUUUAGUAUUUAUUUAUUACUCAAAACAGUGUAAUCCAUGAUGCUCAGCAUACAGUUUUCACUAUGUAUAAGGAAAGAUGAUCUGUUGAUUUUUGGUACAAGCCUAAAUUGCACACAUAUUGCCUCAUGAAAACAACUAUAGUGUAGAGCCUUACAUGAAGCUGAAUUUAACCAAAAGCCAAAUAUUUCUGUGUGCGCUAUGUGUUUUGUGUUUCACUUAAUUGUGUUUUAUUGCUCAUUAUAUCAUGAUUAAUGGGCUACACUUUUUAGUAAAAAGGGAAGCUUAUUUUAUUUGUACAGUUACGCAAGAAGUUAUCUUCCUCUGACACAUUUUGCACGCUGCAACAGUAUUUUUGGUGUCUUAUAAAUCCAUGUGGGCUGGGCCCUUGUAUAUGCAUGACACAAUACUAACUAACAAACUAACUAACUAUUAAUGUGCAUACAGUAUAUGUGAGUGUAUUUAUAUGUGUGGAAAUA